GACAGAGAGAGAGAGAAACAAUGGAGAACUCUUCCCUCGAAACAGAAUCUCCUACCAUCUCCAUCCCCAAGAGGAAACCCAAGACAAAGCCUUCACGGCGGCGGGCACCUCCACCGCCGCCUCCUCCGCCGCCGCGGGCGGCGAGGGAAAAGGCACCGUGGCCGAAGAAGAAGUUGGGUGGAGUAAUGCUAGAGGCAUAUAUAGAGGGCAGUGAAACUGGGUCGACCGAUGAAGGCUCGUCCAUUGUGGGGAGGACGAAGAGCCUGACUGACGAGG
rnacentral:misc_RNA from 1 species